rnacentral:rRNA from 1 species
AUUGAACGCUGGCGGCAUGCCUUACACAUGCAAGUCGAACGGCAGCGGGGGAGAAGCUUGCUUUUCCUGCCGGCGAGUGGCGAACGGGUGAGUAAUACAUCGGAACGUGCCCUGUAGUGGGGGAUAACUAGUCGAAAGAUUAGCUAAUACCGCAUACGACCUGAGGGUGAAAGUGGGGGGCCGCCAGGCCUAAUGCUAUAGGAGCGGCCGGUGUCUGAUUAGCUAGUUGGUGGGGUAAAGGCCUACCAAGGCGACGAUCAGUAGCUGGUCUGAGAGGACGAUCAGCCACACUGGGACUGAGACACGGCCCAGACUCCUACGGGAGGCAGCAGUGGGGAAUUUUGGACAAUGGGCGAAAGCCUGAUCCAGCAAUGCCGCGUGUGUGAAGAAGGCCUUCGGGUUGUAAAGCACCUUUGUCCGGAAAGAAAUGGCUCUGGUUAAUACCUGGGGUCGAUGACGGUACCGGAAGAAUAAGGACCGGCUAACUACGUGCCAGCCGCCGCCGUAA